GACGAACCGUGCAAACGUUGUUCGGAAUCACUGGGCUUAAAGGGCGCGUAGGCGGGUUCCCAAGUCGGUGGUGAAAUCUUGCGGCUCAACCGUAGAAGUGCCGCCGAUACUGGGAGUCUCGAGGGAGGUAGGGGUCGAGGGAACUUCCGGUGGAGCGGUGAAAUGCGUAGAUAUCGGAAGGAACGCCGGUGGCGAAAGCGCUCGACUGGACCUUUGCUGACGCUGAGGCGCGAAAGCCAGGGGAGCAAACGGG
rnacentral:rRNA from 1 species